rnacentral:rRNA from 1 species
AAUAUUGCACAAUGGGGGAAACCCUGAUGCAGCGACGCCGCGUGAGUGAAGAAGUAUUUCGGUAUGUAAAGCUCUAUCAGUAGGGAAGAAAGUGACGGUACCUGACUAAGAAACCCCGGCUAACUACGUGCCACCAGCCGCGGUAAUACGUAGGGGGCAAGCGUUCGCCGGAUUUACUGGGUGUAAAGGGAGCGUAGGUGGUGCGUCAAGUCAGAUGUGAAAGCCCGGGGCUCAACCCCGGGACUGCAUUUGAAGCUGUCGAACUAGAGUGCAGGAGAGGUAAGUGGAAUUCCUAGUGUAGCGGUGAAAUGCGUAGAUAUUAGGAGGAACACCAGUGGCGAAGGCGGCUUACUGGACUGUAACUGACACUGAGGCUCGAAAGCGUGGGGAGCAAACAGG